rnacentral:lncRNA from 1 species
GUUUAUUAGUCCAAAGCCAGUGUACACUAGAACUAGACAAAUGAUCCAAUAUUCUUAUUCCUUUCCAGAAGCCAAUGAGUUUGUUAUGGAGGUGAGCCGAGAACUAUGCUGAACAGUGCCAAAUAUUUUCCAGAGUCAGAAACUACUGAGAAGAAAGCUCCUUUUUUCUGCCAAGUGCCUGAGGCCAAAAGGGAACAUGGCUAAAUUUCACUGUAAGAAAAACUUAACCAGCAGAUGUGGAGGAGAGACCCAGAGGUGCCAGUUCUUUCAGUGCUGGCUCAAGGGGGCAGGAGAAGAGCAGAAUAAAAAGGACCUGGGUAAGAGCCAACAGAUGGCCCAGGAGAGCAGUGAAGAUGGAAGAAGAAUUCCUCUGACUCACAGUAAGGCAUUUGGAGCAAGGUUAGGGAGUAAGGAAACAUGACAAGCCAAGAAAGAAGCAGCUGCAGCAAGGGGGUAAGCAUGUGCUCAGCAGCCUUCUGUUUCCUACCCAACAGAAAUGCUGGGCAGCUACUUCCCCUUCCUUCACCUGUCUCUACCCCUUCCUCUUGCAUUUAUUUCAUGUUUCUCCAAUCCAUAUUUAAUCUCCUGCUUCUGUCUUUUUAAGCUGCCUCACAAGGUCAUUUGGGCUGUAGGUAUUAGAACUGCAAUGUUUUCAGUUCCUUCUGAUGGUUAAGGGCUAACAAAAAAGGCUCCUGAAAAGUAAAAAAGCAAAACAGAACAAACCAAACAAGGCUGUUUCACAUGGAAAAAUGUUAAGCUUCAGAAAUGGAAAAAUUUUGUGGCCAUGCAAUGAUUUUAAAAAACCUUCCUGUUGAAGACUUUCUCAAUCCAAGGCAAAUUUUUGAGCAGAAGCUUAAGGAAUUGCUUUAAGGAUAGAGUGUGAUUUUAUUUAAUACCCUGUCUGUGGCUAGCACAUUGAGCAUAUCUCUAUACUGCAAAGAUGACCUUUGCCCCUUAGUGUUCUGUCUUCCAUUUUUUUCCGGGAAAGUUUUGUACUGUUUGACAUUUCUAAAGAAAGGGAAUUGCAGUCCUCUUAAUAGUCCUUGAUCUGUUUCACCACCAAGGACACUUAGACAUUCUCAACUGCAUGUGUGAGUUGCCCAUCAGAUAGGAAUGUCAUAGUUCACUGUUAUGGGGAAAGAAAGAGGCCACUUACAGGGAGUGCUGGUCUGAGCAGAAGAAAGUGCAGGCAUUAGAAGUCCACUAGCUUAGACUAAAGAUAUCUGGGAGAAAACCACGGAUAAUUCCCCAAUCUCCAGUCAAUUCCCAUGUGUUGCCCUACAAGAAGACUAAAGGUGUUGUGCUGAUUCCAGACCAGACUGUACAUUUGCCUGACUGCCUACAGUCCUGUGUACUUGCUUAGUGUUAGCUGAAGCUACACUAAUCUGUGAUGACUUUGCACCUAACCUUAUCCCAAAGCUGUAAAGACAGGGAAAGUUGCAAUAAAAAAUAGUGGCCACCAGUGCUUGAUGUAAAC